rnacentral:rRNA from 1 species
CCGCGGUAAUACGGAGGGUGCAAGCGUUGCUCGGAUUUACUGGGCGUAAAGCGACCGCAGGCGGUCGAUUAAGUUUGACGUGAAAGCCCCGGGCUCAACUCGGGAAGUGCGUCAAAAACUGGUCGACUUGAGUACGGGAGAGGAGAGUGGAAUUCCUGGUGUAGAGGUGAAAUUCGUAGAUAUCAGGAGGAACACCGGCGGCGAAGGCGGCUCUCUGGCCCGAUACUGACGCUCAUGGUCGAAAGCGUGG